GCUCUUUGACAUGAUAGUGAAAAAGAACUGAGAAGUUUAACCAUCCCUCUGUCAUCUGAAGGAGGCCUCUCAUUGGAAUGGACCUGCUGUUCUAAUUUUGACUACAUGGAGGUGUCGCCUAAUAGAAGUGAGAGAAGAUUACAUUUUCAACCACUCCAGGAUGAGGGAGUCAUUGUUCUAAAAACCCACACAAAAUUAAGCAGCACGGAGUACUGAAUUGGAGGCAUUAAUACCUACCACUUUAUUGUGCACCAGUGGAAGCCAUGGCAAAAUGGAGUGGGAAUUGCCCCACUGAGGGGCUUAAAAAUCCAGCUGUUAAUAAACUGAAAAUGGAAUCAUGAUGACUGAUAGCAGUGCAGUGCAAUAACG